UACGUAGGGUGCAAGCGUUGUCCGGAAUUAUUGGGCGUAAAGAGCUCGUAGGCGGUUUGUCGCGUCGAAUGUGAAAACCCGGGGCUCAACCCCGGGCCUGCAUUCGAUACGGGCAGACUAGAGUUCGGUAGGGGAGUCUGGAAUUCCUGGUGGAGCGGUGAAAUGCGUAGAUAUCAUUUGGAACGCCAAUGGUGAAAACAGGUAGCUGGGAGUGUGCUGACGCUGAGACACGAAAGCCAGGGGAGCAAACGGG
rnacentral:rRNA from 1 species